rnacentral:rRNA from 1 species
CCGAGGAGUCCUGGCCGUUCGCGAGUCGUAGGGGCUCGUCGAACCCUGAAGGCACAGCGAAAGCGAAAGAGCACAGUGUGAUGUGACCGUGUGUAUGUGUGCUGGUGUCGUUUGUGCGAUAACUUCUUAUAUAUAUCACCCAUAUCUCGCGUUGCCCGCCGGUGAGAUCUGUAUUUUCAUCUUCGGUGGUUCGCAUCUUUGCGCGCGCCGCAAGAGACCAUUUCCAGCGCAUCACCCCCGGGUCGGAUACAGAUGCGUUCGGCGUUUUGCGCGUCAGACAAGUCUGCCGACUCAGGUGUAGCGAAUGACCAGGGACCCGAAAGAUGGCGAUCCACGCCCGGUCGGGACGAAGCCAGAGGAAACUCUGGUGGAAGUCCGAAGCGCCUCUGACGUGCAAAUCGAUCGUCGGAACCGGGUGUAGGGGCGAAAGACCAAUCGAGCCAUCUAUUUUUGGUAGCAGAACUGGCGAUGAAGGAUGAACCUAACGUUGAGAUAAGGUGCCCAAAUUCAGGCUCAUGAGAUCCCAGAAAAGGUGUUCGUUCAUAUAGACAGCAGGACGGUGGCCCUGGAAGUARGAAACCGCUAAGGAGUGUGUAACAACUCACCUGCCGAAUGAAUUAGCCCUGAAAAUGGAUGGCGCUGCAGCCUGAUACCGAUACUCAACCAUUAAAGUAAAUGUGAGGCUUUAAUGAGUAAGARGGCGUGAACAUGGAUUAGAAGGACAAUUUGUGAAAAUGUCUGGAUCAAUGUUUAGUGCAGAUCUUGGUGGUAGUAGCAAAUAUUCAAAUGAGAAUUUUGAAGACCGAAGUGGGGAAGGGUUCCAUGAGAACAGCAAUUGGUCAUGGGUUACUCGAUCCUAAGACAUAGGGAAAUUCCUUGUAAUACAAUAAGAGCUUGCUCUUAGUUGUCGAAAGGGGAACUGGUUAAUAUUCCAGUAGCUAGAUGUGGAUAUUGUGGCAACACAAACAAACCUGGAGACGUCAGCAGGAAAUCCUGAAAGAGUUUUCUUUUCUUUUUAACAAAUUAUGACCAUGAAAUUGGAUUAUCCAGAGAAGUGGUUAGAAGUUUGGCAGAGCAAAUCACUAUCCGAUUUGUCAGGAAUUUUCUUGAUGGCCCUUGAAAAUCCAGGCGCGAGUUUAUAUCACACUAGGUCGUACCCAUACCGCAUCAGGUCU